rnacentral:piRNA from 1 species
UAAUUUUCUGUUACAAGCAAAAGGUUGCCU